rnacentral:rRNA from 1 species
GAUGAACGCUGGCUACAGGCCUAACACAUGCAAGUCGAGGGGCAGCGGGGGGUGUGCUUGCACAUUCCGCCGGCGACCGGCGCACGGGUGAGUAACGCGUAUCGAACCUGCCUCAUACCCGGGAACAGCCUUGCGAAAGUAAGAUUAAUGCCCGAUGUUCUCCACUAUUCCCCUGAAUUAUGGAGCAAAGAAAUUCGGUAUGAGAUGGCGAUGCGUCCCAUUAGUUAGUUGGCGGGGUAACGGCCCACCAAGACGUCGAUGGGUAGGGGUUCUGAGAGGAAGGCCCCCCACACUGGAACUGAGACACGGUCCAGACUCCUACGGGAGGCAGCAGUGAGGAAUAUUGGUCAAUGGGCGGAAGCCUGAACCAGCCAAGUAGCGUGCAGGAUGACGGCCCUCCGGGUUGUAAACUGCUUUUUUUCGGGAAUAAACCGCGGGACGCGUCCCGCGUUGCAUGUACCGUCAGAAUAAGGACCGGCUAAUUCCGUGCCAGCCGCCGCGGUAAUAC